rnacentral:lncRNA from 1 species
GAGGCAGUCAAAUAAAUAUAUAGAAAUUAGAAAAACUUGCGUGUCUUCGAUAUGAAAGGGACAGCACAGGCGUGUUACUUUACGCGCAUCGAUUCUUUAAUUUCACUUUGUUCUUUCCUAAGCCAAUCUAUCAAUUCAAGUACAUUUUAAUACGUUAGUUAAUGUUCUAAUCCAGACCUUUCUUAAACCUAUCUUAUCAAUAUCUCAGUUCAUCAGCACCGUACAAAUCUACUCCUCCAAAAGCUUUACAAAUAUAUGUACCUCUUGUUAUCCUUAUCUCGAGUAUUACGAAUAUUUUGGUCCAAAAAUAAACAUUUGCUCAGCCUCUUGUUAUCUUUAUCUCGAGCAUUUCAAAUACUAUAUUAUUAUUUAUGAAUUAAUUUUUUUAAGUUAGACUGGUCAAUGUAAUUGUUAUUUUUAAUGAAUUUAUACAUAUAUAUUUUAAGAUAUAA